GACGAACGCUGGCGGCGUGCCUAAUAUAUGCAAGUAGAACGCUGAAGAGAGGAGCUUGCUCUUCUUGGAUGAGUUGCGAACGGGUGAGUAACGCGUAGGUAACCCGCCUUGUAGCGGGGGAUAACUAUUGGAAACGAUAGCUAAUACCGCAUAACAAUGGAUGACACAUGUCAUUUAUUUGAAAGGGGCAAUUGCUCCACUACAAGAUGGACCUGCGUUGUAUUAGCUAGUAGGUGAGGUAACGGCUCACCUAGGCGACGAUACAUAGCCGACCUGAGAGGGUGAUCGGCCACACUGGGACUGAGACACGGCCCAGACUCCUACGGGAGGCAGCAGUAGGGAAUCUUCGGCAAUGGGGGCAACCCUGACCGAGCAACGCCGCGUGAGUGAAGAAGGUUUUCGGAUCGUAAAGCUCUGUUGUAAGUCAAGAACGAGUGUGAGAGUGGAAAGUUCACACUGUGACGGUAGCUUACCAGAAAGGGACGGCUAACUACGUGCCAGCAGCCGCGGUAAUACGUAGGUCCCGAGCGUUGUCCGGAUUUAUUGGGCGUAAAGCGAGCGCAGGCGGUUUGAUAAGUCUGAAGUUAAAGGCUGUGGCUCAACCAUAGUUUGCUUUGGAAACUGUCAAACUUGAGUGCAGAAGGGGAGAGUGGAAUUCCAUGUGUAGCGGUGAAAUGCGUAGAUAUAUGGAGGAACACCGGUGGCGAAAGCGGCUCUCUGGUCUGUAACUGACGCUGAGGCUCGAAAGCGUGGGGAGCGAACAGGAUUAGAUACCCUGGUAGUCCACGCCGUAAACGAUGAGUGCUAGGUGUUGGAUCCUUUCCGGGAUUCAGUGCCGCAGCUAACGCAUUAAGCACUCCGCCUGGGGAGUACGACCGCAAGGUUGAAACUCAAAGGAAUUGACGGGGGCCCGCACAAGCGGUGGAGCAUGUGGUUUAAUUCGAAGCAACGCGAAGAACCUUACCAGGUCUUGACAUCCCGAUGCUAUUUCUAGAGAUAGAAAGUUACUUCGGUACAUCGGUGACAGGUGGUGCAUGGUUGUCGUCAGCUCGUGUCGUGAGAUGUUGGGUUAAGUCCCGCAACGAGCGCAACCCCUAUUGUUAGUUGCCAUCAUUCAGUUGGGCACUCUAGCGAGACUGCCGGUAAUAAACCGGAGGAAGGUGGGGAUGACGUCAAAUCAUCAUGCCCCUUAUGACCUGGGCUACACACGUGCUACAAUGGUUGGUACAACGAGUUGCAAGUCGGUGACGGCAAGCUAAUCUCUUAAAGCCAAUCUCAGUUCGGAUUGUAGGCUGCAACUCGCCUACAUGAAGUCGGAAUCGCUAGUAAUCGCGGAUCAGCACGCCGCGGUGAAUACGUUCCCGGGCCU
rnacentral:rRNA from 1 species